GGGUAACGGGGUGUUAGGGCACGACACCGGAGAGGGAGCCUGAGAAACGGCUACCACAUCCAAGGAUGGCAGCAGGCGCGCAAAUUACCCAAUCCCGACACGGGGAGGUAGUGACAAUAAAUAACAAUACGGGGUCCUUUCGGGUUUCGUAAUUGGAAUGAGUACAAUUUAAAUCUCUUAACGAGGAACAAUUGGAGGGCAAGUCUGGUGCCAGCAGCCGCGGUAAUUCCAGCUCCAAUAGCGUAUAUUAAAGUUGUUGCAGUUAAAAAGCUCGUAGUUGAAUUUCGGGAUUAGUACGCUGGUCGUGCCUUCGGUAUGUACUGGUGUUACUGGUUCCUACCUUCUGACGAACCGUCAUGUCAUUAAUUUGGUGUGGCGGGGAAUCAGGACUGUUACCUUGAAAAAAUUAGAGUGUUUAAAGCAGGCUCGCGCUUGAAUACAUUAGCAUGGAAUAAUGAAAUAGGACGUUCGAUCCUAUUUUGUUGGUUUCUAGGAUUGACGUAAUGAUUAAUAGGGAUAGUUGGGGGCAUUAGUAUUCAAUUGUCAGAGGUGAAAUUCUUGGAUUUAUUGAAGACUAACUACUGCGAAAGCAUUUGCUAAGGAUGUUUUCAUUAAUCAAGAACGAAAGUUAGGGGAUCGAAGACGAUCAGAUACC
rnacentral:rRNA from 1 species